rnacentral:rRNA from 1 species
UACGUAGGGCGCAAGCGUUGUCCGGAAUUAUUGGGCGUAAAGAGCUCGUAGGUGGUUGGUCGCGUCUGCCGUGAAAACCCGCAGCUCAACUGUGGGCUUGCAGCUGAUACGGGCAGGCUUGAGUUCGGUAGGGGAGACUGGAAUUCCUGGUGUAGCGGUGAAAUGCGCAGAUAUCAGGAGGAACACCGAUGGCGAAGGCAGGUCUCGUGGGCAUUAACUGACGCUGAGGAAGCGGAAAGCAUGGGG